CCUACGGGAGGCAGCAGUGAGGAAUAUUGGUCAAUGGCCGGAAGGCUGAACCAGCCAUGCCGCGUGUGGGUCAGUGCCCUAUGGGCGUUAAACUUCUUUUGUCCGGGAGCAAUAAUGUUCCCGUGUGGCCCGACGAGAGUACCGUACGCAUCAGCAUCGGCUCACUCCGUGCCAGCAGCCGCGGUCAUACGGGGGAAGCAAGCGUUAUCCGGAUUUGUUGGGUUUAAAGGGUGCGUAAGCGGGGAGGUCAGGCAGCGGGGAAAUGCCCCCGCUCAAAGGGGGGAAGUGCCAUUGAUACUGGCAGGCUGGAAUGCGGAUGCGGUGGGAGGAAUGUCAGGUGUAGCGGUGAAAUGCAUAGAGAUC
rnacentral:rRNA from 1 species